UACGUAGGGGGCUAGCGUUGUCCGGAAUCAUUGGGCGUAAAGCGCGUGUAGGCGGUCCGGUAAGUCCGCUGUGAAAAGUCGGGGGGCUCAACCCUCGGAUGCCGGUGGAUACUGUCAGGCUUGAGUACGGAAGGGGCGAGUGGAAUUCCUGGUGUAGCGGUGAAAAUGCGCAGAUAUCAGGAGGAACACCAAUGGCGAAGGCAGCUCGCUGGGACGGUACUGACGCUGGAGGCGCGAAAGCGUGGGGAGCGAACAGGG
rnacentral:rRNA from 1 species